CAUACUGUACAUGUUUCUUUCUUUUUCUUUUCUUUUUUCCUUUUUUGCAGCGUUCUCCAAUAUAUACUUCAUUUUUAUUCCAAUUAUUCCGGAUCCUCUGGUACUGAAAGGGCUUGAGGCUGCACGACAACCCGUCUUUGAGGGACUCUAUCCGGGUGGCUCACAAUUUACGCUGCAUCUACAUUUACAUCCUGGACCCUUGGUUUGCUGGCUCGUCAAACGUGGGCAUCAAGAGGUGGAGCUCGGGUGGCAAAUUGUGAGCGGCCUCGUAUGAAUGCCAACUCACUCCUGGCAAGUCCGACGGGCCUCAGCCCCAACCUUCGCGUUGGAUGCCUGUCUUGCCGACUUUUCUAUUUGAAGCUUGCUGAGGUGUACAUGAAGGUAAAAAGAACUGUCGGGCCAACUGCUGUGGAGGGAGUUCUUCUCUACGACUGCCACCGACAAAAUUUGUUUUGAUCAGAUGGAGCGAAAACCUGUAUGCCUCUUGAUCCCUUGAGUACAAAACCCAGAGGCACUAGCCAAACGGGCAGAAGGACGGACAGCUUUUCCUUGGAUAGAUGCACUUAUGACGCAGCUGAGACAGGAGGGUUGCAUCCACCAUUUGGCCCGAGACGCUGUAUCCUGCUUCCUUACUAGAGUAGACAUUCUGGAUCAGUUGGGAUGAAGCCGUGCAGGUGUUUGAAGAGCUGCUGUUCGAGGCAGACCGGAGUGUAAAUGCUGGCCGGUGGAUGUGACUUUCUUGCAGUUGCUUUUUUUCAGCAGUUUGCUAUUGCCCUGUGGGAUUUGGUCGACAAGCAGACUACAUAAGGUGUUUAGACUUUCUCUGCAUUUACUGUUGUAAUCACAUCUUGUCCUCAGAUGGACAUGCACGUGCUGAUGAGUAGGGCUUUGGUUUGUUAGCUAACAUCCAUCUUUGCCGCUUAUCCUCACGAGGGUCGCAGGGAGUGCUGGAGCCUAUCCCAGCUCUCAACGGGCAGGAUGCGGGGUACACCCUUAACUGGUUGCAAGCCAAUCGCAGGGCACAUAGAAACAAAUAACAGUCGCACUCACAAUCACACCUAGGAGCAAUUUUGAGUGUCCAAUUAAUGUUGCAUGUUUUUGGGAUGUGGGAGGAAACCGGAGUGCCCAGAGGAAACCCACGCAGGCACUGGGAGAAAAUGCAAACUCCACACAUGCAGGUCCGGGAUUGAACCUAGGGCUUCAGAACUGUGACCAGCUGAUCCACUAUUCCACCUGUUAGCUAACAUGAGGAAGCAAUUUCUCUUAAUAUUCUUUCACAGCGGAUGAAUAAUAUGAGUCGGUAUUAGGCAUGAGCUGAGCCAGUACCAGAUGCUCAUGGUGUGAUAUGCAUGAGGAAAAGCAUUACAGUGUUGCAAUUACAUUUCGCAAAUAUUUGGAUAAAUAAAAUCCCCCUGGUUCAAGGGGUUUGCCUCCACUGGAGCCAGGUCUGGGGGUGGGGCUCAAAGCGAAGGACCUAAUGGCCAGGCCUGCAGUCAUGGGGCUGUGCCGGGCACAGCCGUGAAAGGGUAACAUGGGUCCUCCUUCCCAUGGGCUCACCAACUGUGGGAGGGGCCAAGUGCCCCACCCCCCUCCAGCUCUUCUCGUGGAUAAAGGUUGGUUCAGAGGUUAUAAGGCCAACGUUUUGCAAACCCAAAAGCUGAUGAAACAGUGUUGUUCAUUCACAUAGGAGGAACUUUGGUUUGUGAAUGGUGAGUUACACAUCUACAUAGGGGGAAAAAAAAAAACAAUUUACAAAGUGAAAAGCUUUUAGAUGUUCAGUAUCAACACACAAUCUAUAUUCAACAAUCAACCUCC